rnacentral:other from 1 species
GCACUCCUGCGGUGUUCGAUAUGCUGAAAAUUCUUUGAGCCUAAUUUCUUGAACGGGGCUUAGUCCCUGAAGGCCGUGUGCAGGCCCAGUGGUAUCGAUGGGAAGCCUGACGCCUUCAAACCGAACCCCACCUGCACUAGCAGGUUCGAGAAUACCAGCAUCCCGGCACAGGCGGGAGUGUC